AUUGAACGCUGGCGGCAGGCCUAACACAUGCAAGUCGAGCGGAUGAAGGGAGCUUGCUCCUGGAUUCAGCGGCGGACGGGUGAGUAAUGCCUAGGAAUCUGCCUGGUAGUGGGGGAUAACGUCCGGAAACGGGCGCUAAUACCGCAUACGUCCUGAGGGAGAAAGUGGGGGAUCUUCGGACCUCACGCUAUCAGGUGAGCCUAGGUCGGAUUAGCUAGUUGGUGGGGUAAAGGCCUACCAAGGCGACGAUCCGUAACUGGUCUGAGAGGAUGAUCAGUCACACUGGACCUGAGACACGGUCCAGACUCCUACGGGAGGCAGCAGUGGGGAAUAUUGGACAAUGGGCGAAAGCCUGAUCCAGCCAUGCCGCGUGUGUGAAGAAGGUCUUCGGAUUGUAAAGCACUUUAAGUUGGGAGGAAGGGCAGUAAGUUAAUACCUUGCUGUUUUGACGUUACCAACAGAAUAAGCACCGGCUAACUUCGU
rnacentral:rRNA from 1 species